CUCUUUGUGCAGGGGGGACUUCAGUUUGCGCAGGAGUGGCUUCCGGGAUGGGUCUUCGCGCAAUGUGCUCUUCUGCAGUUGGUUCUUGCGCAUAGAUUUCCCUUUCAGAUUGUGUAGGAGGUGUUCUUUCAUCAAUCUUGGCCUCUUGAAGCUCUUUUCCACUUCUCAAAGUAAUGGCACUGACAUUUUGUCUAGGAUUAGUUUCAGUUUGAGAAGGGAGCUUACCUUGAGAUUCAGAUCUGCCGAUGGAUGCAGCCAGUUGGCCUAUCUCUUGUCACACGCCUUGCAUGGUAUUGACCAUUGUUUCCAUCAUUGUUUGCAUGAUCUUCUCAAGGUUCUGAUUUGGAUUUGAAGGUGCUGGUUGAGCUUGAUUUCUUUGGAGAAUUUGGUAAUUCUGACUAUUGUUGGCCCUUCCAUAGCUGAAAUUGGGAUGGUCUCUCCAACCUGGAUUGUAUGUAUUGGAGUAUGGAUCAUGCCUAGGCUGGUUGUGGUACCCUCCAAUAGCGUUGACUUGGUGGUGAUCUUCUUGGAGUGUGGGACAUUGAUCAGUUGGG
rnacentral:lncRNA from 1 species